UACGGAGGGUGCGAGCGUUAAUCGGAAUUACUGGGCGUAAAGGGUGCGUAGGUGGUUGAUUAAGUUAUCUGUGAAAUUCCUGGGCUUAACCUGGGACGGUCAGAUAAUACUGGUUGACUCGAGUAUGGGAGAGGGUAGUGGAAUUUCCGGUGUAGCGGUGAAAUGCGUAGAGAUCGGAAGGAACACCAGUGGCGAAGGCGGCUACCUGGCCUAAUACUGACGCUGAGGCGCGAAAGCGUGGGUAGCAAACAGG
rnacentral:rRNA from 1 species